AUGGGGGCGUCGGACAACACCAAGGGGCUGGCGCUCGCGGUCGCCUCCAGCGCCUUCAUCGGCGCCAGCUUCAUCCUCAAGAAGAUCGGCCUCAUGCGCGCNNNNNNNNNNNNNNNNNNNNCAGGCGGAGGAGGAUACACGUAUCUUCUGGAGCCUCUCUGGUGGGCUGGCUUGAUCACCAUGCUGCUUGGGGAGGUCGCCAACUUUGUCGCCUAUGUCUUCGCACCAGCUGUCCUCGUGACUCCUCUUGGAGCACUGAGCAUAAUCGUCAGUUCAGUGUUAGCGCACUUUGUGCUGAAGGAGCGGCUUAACAAGCUCGGCGUUCUUGGUUGUAUAUCGUGCAUAGUAGGUUCAGUUGUUGUCGUUCUACAUGCCCCUGAAGAGCACAUGCCCGAUUCCGUUGAAGAAAUCUGGGAUCUAGCUACUCAACCAGGAUUUCUAGCAUAUGCGGGAACAACAUUGUUACUCAUGGCAAUAGUAGUAGUGUUCAUCGAACCUCGAUAUGGUCAGAAGAACAUACUGAUAUAUCUGGGUAUCUGCUCUUCAAUGGGAUCAUUAACUGUUGUUAGCAUCAAAGCCGUUGGUGUUGCCAUAAAGCUUACGCUGGAUGGAAUGAACCAGCUUGCCUAUCCGCACACAUGGCUUUUUAUUCUGGUCGCAGUUAUCUGUGGUGUUUCUCAGCUAAAUUACCUCAACAAGGCACUGGAUACCUUUGAUUUAGCUAUGGUUUCCCCAGUUUAUUAUGUAAUGUUUACCAUCCUUACAAUAGUGGCGAGUUCAAUUAUGUUCAAGGACGGGGCUGGACAAAGCUUAAGUAGUAUUGCUUCUGAAUGCUGCGGCCUGGUAACAAUCCUUUCUGGAACAAUUUUGCUGCACGCAGCAAAACAAAAAGAAGUUGCCAGUUCUCCAGCAUCCACUUGGCCUUUGGAUAGAGGGAUAUCUUGGUAUAUCAGUGUAGGCAGCGACAAUCUUCUGAGGAACGUCGAAGACGACUACUUCGCCGCUCCACAAAUUUCGCCAACCACACCCUGA
rnacentral:rRNA from 1 species